UGUGGCAAAUGAUGAUAAAAAUGUUGAUAUGCAAACUACUGAAUAUUUCUGUAGACUACAACUCCGCUUAUUAUCUGAUGCUAUA